UACGGGGGGGGCAAGCGUUGUUCGGAAUUACUGGGCGUAAAGGGCUCGUAGGCGGCCAACUAAGUCAGACGUGAAAUCCCUCAGCUUAACUGGGGAACUGCGUCUGAUACUGGAUGGCUUGAGUGCGGGAGAGGGAUGCGGAAUUCCAGGUGUAGCGGUGAAAUGCGUAGAUAUCUGGAGGAACACCGGUGGCGAAGGCGGCAUCCUGGACCGGAAUUGACGCUGAGGAGCGAAAGCCAGGGGAGCAAACGGG
rnacentral:rRNA from 1 species